rnacentral:lncRNA from 1 species
GGCUUAACCGUUUUCCCCUUUGUCCCUUGUUUAAAAUUAGAAACUAUCAACGGUUAUGGAAUUGGUUACAAGCCGUUAUGUUACAUCUGUAUUAUCCAUAAGCACUGUUUCGUUUAAACUUAAUCAACACAAAAACACAUCGUUUUAUUUGACUUAAAUCCUACCCACAACGAACCAUUUUGACUAGACAUUUGGAUCCCUAAACGCUGCUAUUCUACAACUAAACAAAACAAAAAACUAACAACAUUAACAGACAUAACACAAAUGACAGUUAAUUAUUUCCCUCCAUAUCAAUUAAUCCCUCCCCAGAAAGGGUCAUUGUCCUCAUGAAUAAAACGUUGGAAAUCGAUGUUGUAGAUCUUGCAAGUUCUCCUAAGUUGAGUCUUCAGGGAACGUGUUGGCCCAUUUUAUCAAAGCUUCUGUGACAGCUUGGUUUCCCUUUUUCACCAUUCACCUAUCCACUACUCGAACCGAUUCCUUGGUCAUAGCUCUAUCAGUGCCCAUCAGUGACAAACUGGCUUGACUUGUAGUCUUCCCUACAUGUUUCUUGAGUUGAGAAAUAUGGAAAGUAGGGUGAAUUCGAGACCCCAAUGGCAGCUUCAGUUGAUAAGCCACAUUUCCCACCUUAGCUUCCACAAGAUAGAGACCGAAGCAUUUGGGAGAAAGCUUUUGAUUCAAAGCCAUCCUCACUGUAUGUUGCUAACAAGGCUGCAACUUCAAACACACAUAAUCCUCAACUUGAAAUUCUCUAUCACUCCCCUUACUGUUAGUUGUUUGCUUCAUCUUGUCUUGGGCUCUCUUUAAAUAAAAUUUAAGUAGCUUCCUUAUUGCCUCUCUUUAAUGAAGGAUUCUAUCCAUUGUAUCCAAGAAGAUGAUCCAACAAAGUAAGGUAGAUGAUGAUGAGGCUUCUAGCCAUACAGAGCCUCAUAUGUGGUGGAAUGAAUGGUUGAAUGGUAGGUAGUAUUGUACCACCAUUCAAAUAAAGGAAGCCACAAUAACCAA